rnacentral:rRNA from 1 species
AUUGAACGCUGGCGGCAUGCUUUACACAUGCAAGUCGAACGGUAACAGGCCGCAAGGUGCUGACGAGUGGCGAACGGGUGAGUAAUGCAUCGGAACGUGCCCAGUCGUGGGGGAUAACGCAGCGAAAGCUGUGCUAAUACCGCAUACGAUCUCUGGAUGAAAGCGGGGGACCGUAAGGUCUCGCGCGAUUGGAGCGGAGCAUGGCAGAUUAGGUAGUUGGUGGGGUAAAGGCCCACCAAGCCAACGAUCUGUAGCUGGUCUGGGAGGACGACCAGCCACACUGGGACUGAGACACGGCCCAGACUCCUACGGGAGGCAGCAGUGGGGAAUUUUGGACAAUGGGCGCAAGCCUGAUCCAGCAAUGCCGCGUGCAGGAAGAAGGCCUUCGGGUUGUAAACUGCUUUUGUACGGAACGAAACGGUCUGGGUUAAUACCCUGGGCUAAUGACGGUACCGUAAGAAUAAGCACCGGCUAACUACGUGCCAGCCGCCGCCGUAACAC